UCACACCCGUUCCCAUACCGAACACGGAAGUUAAG
rnacentral:rRNA from 1 species